rnacentral:lncRNA from 1 species
CAGCAGGAACUGGCCGACUGUCUGAAGAAGUUGUCCAUGUGUGAGGCUUCUCUGGAGGUCAACACACGGUACCGUAAUGAUCUGGAGGAAGAGAAGGCGCGCACACUCAAGGACAUGGACAGAUUGAAGGGAAAGCUGCAGGAGUCUGAGGAAGUGUACGUCCAGGCCGAGAGACGCAUUAGCCAGCUGAAGAGCUCUCUGGACGACAAGGAGCGAGAAGCCUGCAGUACCGCUCAGAAACUAGAGGAGGCGCUAGCUGCUUCCACAGGCAAAGAGCAAACCAUUAAACAGCUGGAGGAGGCGGUGCAGAGGUUAGAGAUCGAGAACGCCAGACUGGAGGCCACAGCCAAACAGCAGACCAACCGCAUCGAGGUGCUUCAGAAGGGCUUUCAGGAGGGCGCUGUGGUCAGGAAUCGUUUGGAAGAUAUUGUCACAAACCUGCAGAGCAGUAAGAUGACGCUAGAAGAACAACUCAACCGAGAGGUACAGAAGCAGAGUAUGCUAUCCCAUAAUGCCCAGGACUCACAAGCACUGUGGGAGGAGGAGCUAAAGAGCCGCUCACGACUGGGACUCCGCCUCUCUGAGCUGGAGAAAGAGAAAGGAGAACUGACCAAUCAGAUGGAGCUCGAGAAGAAAAAGGCCAAAAAACUAGCCGAGCAGAAGAAAUCUUUGGACACGCGUCUGGAGCAGGAGAUGAAGAGAAACACUGACCUUCAGAAAGAAAUGUACAGGUUGAAAACUCUGUUGAAGACCGCUAAGAAGCAGCUGCGUGAACAGGGCGGUGGACAGCUGGACUCUCCUCUGGGCAGCUUCAGAGGAGACAUGAGCCACCGGCUGGAGGCAGAGAGCGCCGUCAGCAGAAUGAAGACCCGGGUGGAUGAGCUGCAGUCUCAGUACGAGCGGGAGGCGUCGCGCUGCUCGCGGCUGGAGGAGGUGCUGGUCGCGGCUGGAGGAGGUGAACAGACAGCUGAAGGAGAAGCUGUCGUCUGUGAAGAGCCUGAGCCGAAGCUACGAGCAGCUGGAGCGCAGCAAGAGUCAGCUGGAGGAGGAGGUGGCCAGUCUGCGGCGGCAGCUGGAGGCCGGUGUGAUGGACCAGAGCCAGGCCGAGCAGUACCGCCGGGAGACGGAGGAAAGAGCCCGACAGGAGAUCCGACACAAACUAGAGGAGGUCAACCUCUUCCUGCAGACGCAGGCGGCGUCUCAGGAAGCUCUGGAGCAGAUGAAAGCUGCUAAUGAGGCCAGUCAGCGCACUCAGCAGGAGCAGCGCAUCAGGGAUCUGGAGGGAGAACUCAGCCGUUUACNNNNNNNNNNNNNNNNNNNNNNNNNNAGGACAGUCUCGUUCAGAGAGACUCCAGCCACA